rnacentral:tRNA from 1 species
GAGGUUGUGGCUCAGCGCUAGAGCACUCUCCUGGCACGUGUGAGGCCCUGGGUUCGAUCCUCAGCAUCA